AGAGACUCUGGCUACUAUAUUAUUGUUAACAUAAAAUAUUUAUUGCUAUUGAGUAUUUCAUUAUUAAAUUUAUUUUUUUAAUUAUUUUUAUUUAUUAAAUUAUACUAUUUCACUAACCAGUCAUUCAAUUUUAAAAAAUUAUUAUCAUUUUAACCAUACAUUUCGUCAUCCAAGAAGUGAAAAUUUAAUAAUGCUAUCAAUUUGAUGCUAUUAAUAGUAUAGCACGUCGUUCUCUCUUUAUAUAUAUAUAUAUAUAAUUGAGCUUUUAUAUUUUUUAAAUAAGUGUUUUAAUGUUGGACUUUUUAAAAAAUACGAUUCUUCGAAAGUUUAAAUAUUUUUUUUUUGGAGAUAAAUAAUUAUUUCAUAUAAUUUAAUACGGCAAUGCGGGACCUGAACGGCGAGGAGCGGGCGGUGGAGCCCCUCGAGGUUCAUGACGCCGGUGUACGGCACCAGCUGCUGCAGUAUCUCCUCCGCGAUGCCGCCGCCGCCCCCGUCGGCGAGGUCCGCGACCGCCACCGCCUCCGCCGCGGCCUCCANGCUUUGCUCUCUUCUCUUUACUCACAAUAUCAAUAGCAAUAAUAACAAAAUUAAUUUAAAUUUAAAACCCGAUCAAUUUAGUUUCACGCCAGAUCAACAAUCGACACCGUUAAAUUUGAUCAAAAAAUAGUUGAACUUUACGAAAAUCAAAUUUCGCAAUAUUUUUUAUAUUAUUUGUCUGGAAUUCUUGCGGUUCUAAAUCUGACCAUUUGUAGUGGCUAAAUACAAGAUGAAUUAAGAUUUGAGACCACUUAACUACCGGAUACAUAAUUUUGUAGGAUUAUAAAAAGACAGCAUCUGAUUUAUGGUGCCAAUUAUUAGCAAACAGUUCCUUUUUCUUCUCCAAGUAUUCUAGUUUUUACUUAAUGAAAUUGACUAAACUCAAAUAGACUUAAUCUUCUUUUCUUUUUCUUUUUUUUUGUUUUUAAAGGGUUAAAAUGUUCUUGACAGAUUAAGUUUAUAGUCAACAAAUUCCCCUAUUACUUCAACGGAUUCUUGGUCCUUGCCUAGGUUCUCUAGUCUCUUUACACUUAACUCUCUGGCUAUUAUUAUAUAUAGGAAAAACUUCAAAAAUUCCUCCUGUGGUUUAGCACAUUUUUUUUUAGUAUUCUAUAAUUUAAAGUGUAUCAAAUUAGUAUCCUGUAAUUUCGUACUUUCUCACUUUAAUACCUGUGGUUUAAAGUGUAUCAAGUUAGUACUCCGUGGUUUUACUUUUGUAUCAAGUUAGUGCCAUGUGAUUUUAUUUUUAUAUCAAGUUAGUACCCUAUGGUUUUUAAACCACAAAAUACUAAAGUGAUAAAGUGCAAAAUCACAAGGUACUAAAGUGAUAAAGUGCGAAAUCACAGGGUACUAACUUGAUGUACUUUAAACCACAGAGUACUAAAGUGAAAAAGUACAAAACCACAAGGUACUAACUUGAUACACUUUAAACCACAUAGUACUAAAGUGAGAAAAAGUGAAACCACAAGAGGGAUAUUUGAAGUUUUCUCUUAUAUACAUAAGAAAAUCUGACUUUUGUUGUAUCUUUUAGGUCUAUUAGCUAGAAUUAAUACGGAGAAAGUGAGUAAAUUUAAUUGAAAAACCAGAUCAAGGAUCUAAUCUUUUUUUUUUUUUUUUUUGAGAAAAAGGUAACAUGCCACCCGCUUCAUUUAUUUCAUUUAGAAAUAAACUUAGCUCAAAAUAUAAAUCAACUAGAAUUUGAACUUGAGUCUCGAAUAUCAACCAUCAAAUUUUUUUGCCACUUGCGCUAGCGCUAGGAACAGUCGGUCUAAUCAUUAAUUUAUUAAAGUACAAUUUUUGACCUUUUAGUUCCUUUUUUAAGUACCUAAUAAUUUAUUUCUAUAGUAUUGCUUGGUCUACCAUCCAAAAUUAAUUGUAAUCCUACAGUCAUCCCCUCCAAAGUUCAUUUUUCCUUUACAAGUCCUUUUUUUUUUCCUUUUUGCUUUUUACUAAAAGCUAAAAAAUAUUAGUAAAUCCUAAAACCUUUGAAUGAAAAUUGUAAAAGUUACGACCAUUUUGCUUGUAGACUUGAUAUUUCUUUUAUUUCUAUCACUAAAUUUUAGUCUGUAAUGCUUUCAAAUUUCUACCUAGUAAAAAGUAAUAGUGUCUAAAUGGUCUUGUCUAAUAGGAAAAAAUUUCUUACUAACUUUAAUUUGUUUGUAAGUAAAAAACUGAUUUAUUAUCAUUCUUUUUCUAAACAAGAAAACAAUGCAAUACAGAUAUAUAUAGAGAGAGACUCUGACUACUAUAUUAUUGUUAACAUAAAAUAUUUAUUGCUAUUGAGUUUUUCAUUAUUAAAUUUAUUUUUUUAAUUAUUUUUAUUCAUUAAAUUAUACUAUUUCACUAACUAGCCAUUCAAUUUUAGAAAAUUAUUAUCAUUUUAACCAUAUAUUUCGUCAUCCAAGGAGCGAAAAUUUAAUAAUGCUAUCAAUUUGAUGCUAUUAAUAGUAUAGCAACAUCAUUCUCUCUUUAUAUAUAUAUAUAUAAUUGAGCUUCUAUAUUUUUUUAAAUAAGUAUUUUAAUGUUGGACUUUUUAAAAAAUACGAUUCUUCAAAAGUUUAAAUAUUUUUUUUUUUGAGACAAAUAAUUAUUUCAUAUAAUUUAAUAUGAUAAUGCCGGACCUGAACGGCGAGGAGCGGGCGGUGGAGGCCCUCGAGGUUCAUGACGCCGGUGUACGGCACCAGCUGCUGCAGUAUCUCCUCCGCGAUGCCGCCGCNAAAUAAUUAUUUCAUAUAAUUUAAUAUGAUAAUGCCGGACCUGAACGGCGAGGAGCGGGCGGUGGAGGUCCGCGACCGCCACCGCCUCCGCCGCGGCCUCCACCACCUCGGCCCCCAACACCCCCUCCCCCUCGCACUCCACCAUUAGCACCCCCUCCUCAUCCUGCUUUAUCCUCC
rnacentral:lncRNA from 1 species